AUGGCAUGUAAGUGUUUGAGUGAAUGAAAGAGUCACAUCUCUCACUUUAAAUCAAAAGCUAGAAAUGACUAUGCUUAGUGGGAAAGGCUUGUCAAAUGCAUAGACAGGCUGAAAGCUAGGCCUCUUAUGUUAAAUAAACACUUUGCCCAGUUGUAAAUGCACAGGAAAAAUUCUUGAAGAAAAUUAAAAGUGCCACUCCAGUAAACAUAUGAAUGAUAAGAAAGUGAAACAGCCUUAUUGCUGUUAUAGAGAAAGUUUUAGUGGUCUAAAUAGAAGAUCAAACCAGCCCAGCAUUCCCUUAAGCCAAAGCCUAAACCAGAGCAAGGCCCUAACUUUCUUCAAUUCUAUGAAGGCUGAGAGAAGUGAGGAAGCUGCAGAAGAAAACUUGCAAGUUAGCAGAGGUUGGUUCAUGAAGUUGAGGGAAAGCUGCCAUCUCUAUAACAUAAAAGUACAACAUGGGCUGGGCUCACACCUGUAAUCCCAAAACUUUGGGAGGCCAAGGUGGGCGGAUCACUUGAGAUCAGGAGUUCAAGACCACCCUGACCAACAUGGUGAAACCCCACCUCUACUAAAAAUACAAAAAAAAAUAAAAAAUAAAAAUUAGCUGGGCGUGGUAGUGGGCACCUGUAGUCUCAGCUACUCGGGAGGCUGAGGUGGAGGUUGCAGUGAGCCGAGAUCGUGCCACUGUACUCCAGCCUAGGCUGGGCAACAGAGUGCGACUUUGUCUCAAAAUAAAAAUAAAAAUAAAAAAGUACAACAUGAGGCAGCAAAUGCUGAUGAAGAAGCUGCAACAAGUCACCCAGAAAGUCUAGAUCAGAUAACUGAUGAAGGUGGUUCCACUAAACAACAGAUAUUCAAUGGAGACAAAACAGCCUUGUAUUAAAAGAAGACUUUCAUAGCUAGUAAAGAGAAGUCAAUGUCUGGUUUCAAGCUUCAAAGGACAGGCUGACUCUCUCAUUAGAAGCUAAUGCAGCUGGUGACUUUAAGUUGAAGCCAAUGCUAAUAUACCAUUCUGAAAACCUUAGGGCCCUUAAGAAUGAUGCUAAAUCAGCCGGGCACGGUGGCUCACAACUGUAAUCCCAGCACUCUGGGAGGCCGAGGCAGGUGGAUCACGAGGUCAGGAGAUCGAGACCAUCCUGGCUAACAUGGUGAAACCCCGUCUCUACUGAAAAUACAAAAUAAAAAUUAGCCGGGCAUGGUGGCAGGCGCCUAUAGUCCCAGCUAUUCGGGAAGCUGAGGCAGGAGAAUGGCAUGAACCCAGGAGGCGGAGCUUGCAGUGAGCUAAGAUCGCACCACUGCACUCCAGCAUGGGUGACAGUGUGAGACUCCGUCUUUAAAAAAAAAAAAAAAAAAAAAAAAAGAUGAUGCUAAAUCUACUCUACCUGUGCUCUAGAAAGGAAACAACAAAGCCUGUAUUGCUGCACAACUGUUUCAAGAAUGGUUUACUGAGUAUUUUAAGUCCACUGUUGAGACCUACUACUAAAAAAAAGAGAUUCCUUUCAAAAUAUUACUGCUCAUUGACAACGCACCUGGUCAACCAAGAGCUAGAUAUACAAGAAGGUUAAUGUUGUUGUCAUGCUUGCUAAUACAAUAUCCAUUCUUUAGCCCAUUAACUCAUGGAGUAAUUUUGACACUGAAUUCUUACUGUUCAGGAAAUACGUUUCAUAAAGCUAUAGUUGCCACAGAGAGUAAUUCCUCUGAUGGAUCUGGGAAAUCUAAACUGAAAGCCCUCUGGAGAGAGUUUACCAUUCCAGAUGCCAUCAAGAACAUUUGUGAGUCAUGGAAGGAAGUCAAAAUAUCAACAGUAUCAGAAGUUUGAAAGAAGUUGACCCUAAUGGAUGAUUCAUGGAUGACUUCGAGGGAUUCAAGACUUCAGUGGUAGAAGAAACUGCAGAUGUGGAAGAAAUAGCAAGAGAACUGGAAUUAGAAGUGAGGCAUGGAAGACUUGAGAGAACUGCUGCAAUCUCAUGAUAAAAUUUUAAUGGAUGAGGAGUUGCUUCUUAUGAAUGAGCAAAGAAAGUGGUCUCUUGAGAUGGAGUCUACUCUUGGUAAAGAUGUUGUGAACACUGUUGAGAUGACAACAAAGAUUUAGAACAUUAUAUAAACUAAGUUGAUAAAGCAUCAGCAGGGUUUUGAGAGGACUCCAAACUUUGAAAGAAGGUCUACUGUGGAUAAAAUGGUAUCAAACAGCAUCGUAUCCUACAGAGAAAUCUCUCAUGAAUGGAGGAGUCAAUUGAUGCAGCAAAUUUCACUGUUGUCUCAUUUUAAGAAAUUGCCACAGCCACCCAAUCUUCAGCAACUGCCACCCUGAUCAGUCAGCAGCCAUCAACAUUGAGGCAAGACUUUCCACCAGCAAAA
rnacentral:lncRNA from 1 species